UUAUUGCUGAAGAAUAUUCCAUUGUGGAAAUGUGCCACAGUUUUUAACCCAUUCAUUCAUCAGCUGGCUGACAGUAUGUUGUUUGCUUUUGGGGGCUGUUGUGAAGCAUGCUGCAAUAAACAGGGGAUGACAACUGGCAAUAUCUGGAGAUAAUUUUGAUGACUGUAGCUGAUGGUGCUGCUGGAAUCUAAUGCACAGAGGCACAGCAUUUUCCCUAAGCAUCACACGUACUUCAAACCCCACUGCUCUCUGAGGGCAAAUGCAGCUGAAGCUACAUGUCUGUGGGCAUUUCUGUAAGGAAGUCAUCUUCAUCUAGGACAGCAACCAUGAACUCAAAACAGGUGUAAAACUCUUUUUUAAUAUUGCUCAAAAUACCAGGUUCCACAAAGAGAUGUCUGCUCUAAUGAUAUUUAUUGACCUGUAUUAUGUUGGAGUUAGCCUGAAUAAACAAAGAUGAACACUACAUGGAAUCAAAUAAAUUGCUGUGGUGCUCUACAAAGUUACAGAGAAAUCUUGAUCCACCCUGGGCAUAAAAUGAUAUUGAAGAGAGCAACCGUGAAAGGCCCAGGAACCGACCACACUUUCAUGAGGAACAUACUGUUUACUACCUAUAAAAACGCAUCUUCAUUUGCUACUGUUACCCACUUCUACCAAUAAAUGUAGCUCUUUUGCUACA